rnacentral:misc_RNA from 1 species
GUUUUAAAAUUAUUUAUUUUAAGGUUUUUUGUCACACAGGUCGUGUAAAAAAGGGGUUUGUUCACAGAUGUGGUGUAGAAAAUUGUGUAUGUGAGUUGUGAAGCUGACAUAUUUUCAUUAAUGAUCCUUCCGCAGGUUCACCUACGGAAA